UUCUCAUUUCAAGGUGAAACUCUCUCUCUGGGCAACGUCUGGGAGCAAAGCAAUGUCUCCCCUUUCCAUUCCUCAACCUGGAAGGAAGAGAGAGGAGGGGAAACAUUGUUCACUUAUAGUAAGUGGAGGUCGGGGUUGUGAAUCCUGGGAGCAAGCGGACUCUGCCAAGGAUAACAGAAAAGAAGAAUUUGGAAGCAGAAAUCUCAAACUAAACUUCACGUCAGUGUCUGGUAGUUAGUUGAUUCACCCAAGAUGUCAAUAUCGACGGCUUUGAAAACAAGGAGGGGAAACGAGAUCCUGACUGUGAUACUUCAGGAUCUUACAGGAAUAGGAAAGCCAAACGUCAAGACUGACAUCUCUUUGAAUUUUGGAUAAUUCCACCUGAAAGUUAAUAUCUUUCACGACAUUGGCGAUACUGCUGAGAGUGAGCAUGUCUGAUUUUGUGAAGCAAAAACAAAGUGUGUUAAUUCAGGAUGAACCUACAAUGCAGCUUCUUGAGAAAUAACCAGACAUGAAAUGGUUAAUGUCGGGGGGUGGGGAGGCUUUUUGAUCGUUCAGAUGCUCUGUCUUUCAUCACCAUCCAUGGCUGAUCAUUCAUCUAAAUUAUCUUUCCUGCACAUUUUUUUCAUGACUUCACCUGAUGA